GAUGAAGAACGCAGCGAAAUGCGAUACUUGGUGUGAAUUGCAGAAUCCCGUGAACCAUCGAGUCUUUGAACGCAAGUUGCGCCCGAAGCCAUUAGGCCGAGGGCACGCCUGCCUGGGCGUCACACGUCGUUGCCCCCCCAUCUACUCCUUCGGGAUUGCGGGGGGCGGAUGAUGGCCUCCCGUGCGCCUCGUCGCGCGGUUGGCAUAAAUGCCAAGUCCUCGGCGACGCACGCCACGACAAUCGGUGGUUGCGAAACCUCGGUUGCCUGUCGUGUGCGGUCGUCGCGCAUCGAGGGCUCGAAAAAAUUGCCGGGCUUCGGCUCGACUUUCAACGCGACCCCAGGUCAGGCGGGGUUACCCGCUGAAUUUAAGCAUAUCAAUAAGCGGAGGA
rnacentral:misc_RNA from 1 species